rnacentral:rRNA from 1 species
CUUGGUCAUUUAGAGGAAGUAAAAGUCGUAACAAGGUCUCCGUUGGUGAACCAGCGGAGGGAUCAUUACAGAGUUGCAAAACUCCUAACCCUUUGUGAACGAACCUACCAGUUGCCUCGGCGGCGAGCCUUUCAGGCGGACCGCCGAAGGAAUACAAACUCUUUGCAUUAUAGUAUCUCUGAUUACUUAUUCAAUAAGUUAAAACUUUCAACAACGGAUCUCUUGGUUCUGGCAUCGAUGGAGAACGCAGCGAAAUGCGAUAAGUAAUGUGAAUUGCAGAAUUCAGUGAAUCAUCGAAUCUUUGAACGCACAUUGCGCCCGCUAGUAUUCUGGCGGGCAUGCCUGUUCGAGCGUCAUUUCAACCAUCAAGCCCUAGGCUUGUGUUGGAGCCCUGCGGCUGCCGCAGCCUCCUAAAAACAGUGGCGGGCUCGCUAUCACACCGAGUGCAGUAGUCUACUCUUCGCUCAGGGCGUGUGGCGGGUGCUGGCCGUGAAACCCCCUACUUCUUAAGGUUGACCUCGGAUCAGGUAGGAAUACCCGCUGAACUUAAGCAUAUCAAUAAGCGGAGGA